rnacentral:rRNA from 1 species
UUAAUUGAAGAGUUUGAUCAUGGCUCAGAUUGAACGCUGGCGGCAGGCCUAACACAUGCAAGUCGAGCGGUAACAUUUCUAGCUUGCUAGAAGAUGACGAGCGGCGGACGGGUGAGUAAUGCUUGGGAACAUGCCUUGAGGUGGGGGACAACAGUUGGAAACGACUGCUAAUACCGCAUAAUGUCUACGGACCAAAGGGGGCUUCGGCUCUCGCCUUUAGAUUGGCCCAAGUGGGAUUAGCUAGUUGGUGAGGUAAUGGCUCACCAAGGCGACGAUCCCUAGCUGGUUUGAGAGGAUGAUCAGCCACACUGGGACUGAGACACGGCCCAGACUCCUACGGGAGGCAGCAGUGGGGAAUAUUGCACAAUGGGCGCAAGCCUGAUGCAGCCAUGCCGCGUGUGUGAAGAAGGCCUUAGGGUUGUAAAGCACUUUCAGUCAGGAGGAAAGGUUAGUCGUUAAUACCGGCUAGCUGUGACGUUACUGACAGAAGAAGCACCGGCUAACUCCGUGCCAGCAGCCGCGGUAAUACGGAGGGUGCGAGCGUUAAUCGGAAUUACUGGGCGUAAAGCGUACGCAGGCGGUUUGUUAAGCGAGAUGUGAAAGCCCCGGG